GUCCAGUUUGGCCAAGAGGAUCGCCAACUCGUCAGGCUACGUGGGCGACCGCUUCAAGUGCGUCACCACUGAGCUGUAUGCUGAUUCCAGCAAACUGAGCCGGGAGCAACGUGCCCUUCAGCGCGCAAUGAUGCGCUUCUCCGAGCUGGAGCUGAAGGAGAAGGAGGGAGGGGCGGCGGCGGCAGGCCGGGACUUGGCGGCGGUUCAGCGCGGCGAGGGGAGACUGGGAGCGCAGCCAGCGCAGCUCUAAGCCAGGGGCCGCAGCCCUCGCCCACGAAACUGAGAAGAACAGUGUUCAGCCCCCAUGCACCAAUAACAGGGUUCCGGUCCUGCAACGGUGCGGCGUUCCAGCCAACGGCCUCCAGCUCCCCCGCGGACGAGAGCCGGGACGGCGGGCGGAUGAGAGGAGAUUGAGAGAUGGCGAGGACCGGGACAGGAGGAGGGG
ensembl:lncRNA